rnacentral:snoRNA from 1 species
AAUCCAUGAUGAGGGCAUUUUCAUAAUAACUCCUUUUAUUGUUCGCAUGCCCCAUACAAGGACUCAUCAUCAGAUUGUUGAAAUGUAGUAAUUUCAUUUAUGAGUUU